rfam:Setaria italica strain Yugu1 chromosome IV, whole genome shotgun sequence.
AAGCUAGAACAUGACGAUGUUAUCACAUCUAUUCUCAAUGGGUUAGAUGCUGACUAUAAUCCAUCCGUGUCCAUAAUUAUGAGCAGAGAAGACGUCACCUUGUUAGAUCUUUAUGCCCAGCUUCUUGC